CCGAAGUAGGCCACACUCAACUAGAUACAAAAAUCAAGGGAAGAGAACUUAAAAACUGUAUUUUCAGACGAACUUUAAGGCACUCGAGGGGGCAAGGAAAUACAAACAAAAGGAAAAUCGUCAGGACGGAGACAAGAAAGAAGACGCCUUCAUCGAUUUUCAUUCUGCAAAUGUAAAAGCUUUUCAUUAAAGAAAACUAUAUAAACGAGGAAACCCGCCAAAUAAUUUACAAUAUAGGUUAAGCGAAAGCUGGAAGUUCACAUAUAUUGUGAAUAUGUAUUACGACUAUGUGUUUUCAUCAUGGGCUUAAUUAGGAUUCGUCAAUCUGAUUUAGAUUGGAUUCGCACAAUUUGUAAGCUAUUAAUUAUUUUGAAUACACUUCUUUUGUGGAUUUUACUGUUACAAAAAGCCAGUGAAGCGUUAUAUUUCAAAGUUUCCAACGUCAAACAGUGAUCAGUAGAAGACUCAGCAACCAGAAGGCCCUUAAACAAACCAUUAAGCAUCAAGGCUUGUUUACUCGCGGAAUUUACCAGAAAUCGGCCAACGAAGGCUUUUAAUGAGCCCCAUUAUUUUGCCGUAAAGUUCAAGCGACCGCAAGAACAAAGUGCACAAACAGCCAAACAGCCGCAGAAGAAACAGGGCCAGCACUUAGACUUAGUUACGAAAACCUAAUGAACGGAGGGCGAUACAAUUCUACAUCCUUUAUUUGUCUCAAGCUGUCGCUGUCAUAAAAUCAGAACCAUGAAAAACGACAGUCCUGCGGGGAGGAGUCGCCAGGAUAAAAUAUAGACGACUAUACACCAAGACCAAAAGACAAGUAAAAACACUUAAGACGAGAACAAAUAAAAGCACACACCAAAUUAAUUGCUCCACAUGGCAUGCGAUAUAUAUAGAUAUAGGAUACGAGUAACAUGCGAUAUUGAUGAUAAUAAAAACCAUAAUGGUGAAGCCACAAUACAGCCACAACACAGCCCAAGGAUAAGACAAAGGGAAAACGAAGGGAAAAUUCGAUUGUCGCCUCCAGUUUUUUGUUGCCUCUGUCAUAAACUCAACUUAAUUUGAGACAAAUGCGGCUAAUGACGUCGACAACAGCAAAUAAGUUCAAUUGUGGCAGACGGUCUGUAUCUGGUGUGGAAAUGUCGUUUGGCUCAGACUGGCAAAUGUCUGCUAAGAGAUUUCUGACAACUUAACUCAAAGCCGACAAAGUAACUUGAGACAUUCGAAUACCUGAAGAAUAAUUCCAAGUUGAGGUAUAUCAUUUUGUUUGAAGGUUCUAUCACCUCAUGUCAUUUUGUAUAUGAUAGGAUUUCUUAAACUGGAUACUCAAGUGAUAUGGAUUUACAUAGAGGUUUUCUACGCUUCAUGAAGAUGUAAAUGUAAAUGUUCGGAAGUGACUCUCACGUAAAACGAGUAAUAUUCACAUGCAACUUAGAAAUAACUCAUUGUUUGUCCCCCCGACAGAGUAAGCAAAGUUGUAUCUUGGCCAAACUUAUGACUUCCAUAACUUCUGCCAGCCUGUUGUGUCUCUCCAAGGAAUGACUUCGGUUGUUGCCUCCCAGGCACAUAAGUACAAUAAACUUUCAACUUUUCCGCUAAUUUCAGCAACAAAUAUAAGGGCCAUACUCUGUGUGCCUUGCUCUGUGCUUAAAUUAAGAGUGUUUAAGUUCUGAAAACAAGCCGAAAUAAAUUCAUUUCUGUCGCUAGGCGUAGACAAACAAAAAACUGGCAGCAAACUUUAUUUGCCAGCAGGAACACACAAAUAAUACAAAACAAAUACAAACCGAAACAAAAACAAAAACAAAAGCAGAGCUAAACAAAGGAAAAGUUGGGCGGGAAAAUUUCCCAUAUGGUUGGAGGGAGUUAAGCUUAUGUUGGAAAUGCGAUGAAAAAAGAAGCUGCUGUUCAGAUUAAAUUGAGUUGUUUGAUUGGAAAAGGAAGUCGGAGGUGGACUUAAUCUUUAUGAGUUUUCAAUCGCAGAUAAAAUGAAUUCAGCAAUAAUGUAAAUAAGUAAUGAGCGCCAUUAGGCAUACUAAUUA